AUGAGCCUAUCUGCCACUGGGAUAAUCAGUGCUGUUGAUGAUUGUGUCAGUUUGUUCCAGUGGGCCAGAUCUGCCAUUCCAUCUCUGCACUCCGGCUUGAGUGGCUCACAGCAGCAAAGUCUCCAGGAGCAUGUGCUACGCUUACAGGGUGGCCUACAACGUCUCAGGGAUGCUCUUCCUGCAGUGUACGACCUCAUUGACCGAGCAGAGCAAACAAGCCACGACACCCGUGUGGAAAACCUCCUUCCAGGACUCAACGAUACAGUGUAUGAGAUCGAGGACCUUCUUGAUGAGGCCAAAUGGUAUGAGGUGAAGGCGCAAGUGGAGAGCAAUGCAACCCAAUCUCCUCCUCCUCCUCCUCCUCCUCUCGUCGAGUUCAUCGUCCAAGGCAGCAGCUUCAGCAAGCUGAGUCAUGUCCAAUCAAGAUUAAAUAAUCUUUCAAGUCGGCUGGAGAUCCUGGGGCUUGCUGAAGCUACAAAACACGUUGACAGACUAGUCAAGCUGAAUACCGGCCGUUGGCCAUAUGGACCACAAUUUUUUUGUUAUUACAAGAAGCUAGCGCAGGUAAUGGGAUUUUCCACAAAUUCAAAACGCAAGAGAGCAACGAGUUUGGCCAAUGCAUCGACGAGCGCAUCAGCAAGCAACCAAUUCAGUAACGGAUCAAGAAGAAUAUCGAGCCUUCCUGUUUUGGUAAUACAAGGAACUGGUGGUGUUGGAAAGACUACGUUGGCCCGACAUAUAUGGAUGAAGCAACCGGGGAAGCCUCGGAUCAUUUGGAUUCGUGUCUCUGAUGACUUUGAUGUGAAGAGGUUAACUAAAAAGGCCAUACAAUUCUGUACUGGGGAGGAGACAACAACCGAUGAUCUGGAUUCUCUUCAGCGUGACCUUUCUAAGCAUGUGAGCAAUAAAACGUUAUUGAUAUUCCUUGAUGAUAUGCGGGAUGAUGCCUUGAAGGAAAAUGGGCAGUGUUGGAAGAGGUUUUGUGCGCCUUUUAGGAAUGUCCUAGUGGGAAGCAUGAUUUUGGUCACUACUAGAUGUUCAAAGGUUACUGAGGGGGUGCGGACAAUGGAGCCCAUUAUAUUAGAAGGUCUAAAGGGUGAUGUCUUUUGGGAUUUCUUCAGAUUGUGCGUGUUUGGAAAUGGGAGGUCUGAGAUUGAUCCUGAGUUAGAGCGCAUCGGUAGAAGUAUACUUCCUAAAUUGAACGGUUCUCCUUUGGCCGCCAGAACUCUGGGAUGCGUGUUAUGCAUGGAUCUUCAGGCAUCCCAUUGGAAUUCCAUACUUGAGAGUGAACUGUGGGAGUUGAGACAAGGGGAGGCCGACAUUUUUCCUGCCCUUAAGUUGAGCUACAUGCAUUUACCAUUCUAUUUGAAGCGAUGCUUCGCAUUCUGUUCUGUGUACCCCAAAGAUUACAAAUUCCAGAAGGCACGCUUAGCUGAAGUUUGGGUAGCGGAAGGCUUUGUGGAAUCUCAAGAUAUUGGCUGUCAGUAUUUUGAAGACCUUGUAACACGGUCCUUCUUUCAAAUGGUUUGUGGUAGAUACGUAAUCCCUGACCUAUUGCAUGACCUGGCACAAAAAGUUUCAGAGCAUGACUGCUUCAUCUUAAGAAAUGAUAGUUGCUUUGAUAAAGUUCCCCAGGAUGUUCGUCAUCUGUACGUACUCCCUAGCAGUGACUUCGAUGGUUCCAACUUGUUGAGACUGUGCAGGUACACAAAGCUGCGUACCCUAAUUUGCGAGAAGAGUUUAGGGAAAGAAGCAGGUUUUGUAAUGGGCCACUGGUGUACUAAACUUUUGCGUAUGCGUGUGAUUUCUUGUGCCUCCACAGAUGAGUUACCAGGUAGUAUUGGCAACUUGAAGCAUCUUCGGUACCUUGAAAUCUCCAGAGAUUGUGCUUUGAAGAGGAUUCCUUCAACUUUCCGUUGGUUAUAUAAUCUGCAGAUUUUCUAUGCCAAGAAAUGCAAGCUAGAAAGCCUGCCUAGUGACUUUGGUAAGUUGACCAGCUUACAGAAAUUUGAAUCGGAUGGAUUACCAUACUACCCUGGGUGCAGCAUGACUGUUAAUGCAGCAGAGGGGCAGGGGCAAAGAAUAGUUAGGUUAAUGAAGAAUCUGAACCAAUUUCGUGGCUUGGAGAUCACUCAUGUUGGCAUGCUAACUAAGGAUGAUGCAGCAGAAUCAAAACUGAAGAAUAAGAAAGACCUUGGUGAGUUGAAACUGAUAUUCGAAUCAGAUGGGUUACCAAUUUCGCCACGGUUUUUAGGCUAUCCCGAGUCUCAGUUCAUGCAGGACAAUGAGAUAGACAUGCUUCAUCAGUCUCAAAUCAUCCAGGACAAUGAGAUAGAUGUGCUUCAAUCUCUGCAACCUCCUAUCAGUCUCAAGUCUCUGUUCCUCCAGAAUUAUGCCGGUGUCUCGCUCCCAAGCUGGUUUCGGCCGCAAAACUUACCAAGCUUAGAAUCACUUACUUUUACAGACUGUGUUGGACUCAAGAGCAUAUCGUUGUGCAUGAUCUCACAGAUUAUAGGCUUAAAUGUGAUACCUGCAGUGCUAGUUCACAACAAUAAUGAUAGUGUUGGUAUGUUCCUAUCCCUGACAGAUCUAGCCAUUUAUGGCUGCCGAAAUUUAUCAACUCUCGAACAUUUUCUACUACCAAAGUAUGUACCAGCCGUGAUGAAAAUAACAAUUGGAGGUUGCAAGAGGUUAGAAUCAAUACCAACGGAAAUGUUUGGGGAUUUUCAUUUUCUUGAAGAACUGGACAUUUUCUCUUGUCCAAAAGUCCGCUCCCGAAGAUUGGUAUCGCCAUCCCUUAAGAAGUUCAGACUGUCUCGUUCUGCUCUCUUUUACAGCAUUGAAUGCUGCUCCCUCACCUACUUUGAUCUAUCAAGUGAGUUUGUCAUGUCCAUCCAACUACAGACGUGGAGUCUUCCAGCUCUACGGGAGUUGCGCAUUCUGUGCCGCUCUCUUACAUCUAUUGGAGGCUCCACUAACCUUUCCCUUUGUACGGGCACUGGCAGCAUUAGAGCAUUCUCAUCCCUUAGUGUCCUAAGUAUUUCACAUUGUGAUAAAUUGUCAACCCUUGAUGACCUCCUAACACAAGAAUAUCUACCUGCUAUUGAGGAAAUUGCAAUCAGAUUUUGUGAGGAGUUACCGUCCCUGCCAGGUGAAAGCUUUGGGAGUUUUCCUUAUCUGAAAGAUCUGCAGAUUGACAAUUGCAGAAGUCUCAACUGGCAAAGGAGGUUGGUGUUGCCAUCGUCUCUGCAAAAGCUCAGCUUGCAUUAUUGUGGGGAUAUGUUUUCAUCUGUUCCCAGCUGCCUUACAAAUCUAACGUCCCUCGUCUCACUGACGAUGAAGGGAUGCCAGGGUAUAAGAUGCAUUCCAGGCGACAUUUGGCGCUGUAAUCUUACAUCACUUGAGUUUUUGGAGAUUUGUUAUUGUCCAGACCUAGUUUCAAUCGGUGGAGCAAAGGCAGUUGAGAAGAUAAAGUUGGUGUCGAUAUACGGGUGUCCAAAUUUAAAGGGAGUAUCAGGGAUCAUGAGAAGGGUGAGGCGCGAGGUCGAACCCGUAGAUGCAUUGCUUGGAAGUUGGAAGACCCGGCGACGGCCAGACUUGGUGCAGCACUAG
rnacentral:rRNA from 1 species